GGUUCUAUAGUGUAGUGGUCAUCACGUUUGCUUUACAUGCAGAUGGUCCUGGGUUCGAGUCCCAAUAGAACCA